rnacentral:rRNA from 1 species
GCUGGCGGCAGGCCUAACACAUGCAAGUCGAGCGGAAACGACAACAUUGAAUCUUCGGAGGAUUUGUUGGGCGUCGAGCGGCGGACGGGUGAGUAAUGCCUAGGAAAUUGCCUUGAUGUGGGGGAUAACCAUUGGAAACGAUGGCUAAUACCGCAUAAUGCCUACGGGCCAAAGAGGGGGAUCUUCGGACCUCUCGCGUCAAGAUAUGCCUAGGUGGGAUUAGCUAGUUGGUGAGGUAAUGGCUCACCAAGGCGACGAUCCCUAGCUGGUCUGAGAGGAUGAUCAGCCACACUGGAACUGAGACACGGUCCAGACUCCUACGGGAGGCAGCAGUGGGGAAUAUUGCACAAUGGGCGAAAGCCUGAUGCAGCCAUGCCGCGUGUAUGAAGAAGGCCUUCGGGUUGUAAAGUACUUUCAGUUGUGAGGAAGGGGGUAACGUUAAUAGCGUUAUCUCUUGACGUUAGCAACAGAAGAAGCACCGGCUAACUCCGUGCCAGCAGCCGCGGUAAUACGGAGGGUGCGAGCGUUAAUCGGAAUUACUGGGCGUAAAGCGCAUGCAGGUGGUUCAUUAAGUCAGAUGUGAAAGCCCGGGGCUCAA